rnacentral:rRNA from 1 species
CCUACGGGAGGCAGCAGUGAGGAAUAUUGGACAAUGGGUGAAAGCCUGAUCCAGCCAUCCCGCGUGAAGGAUGACGGUCCUAUGGAUUGUAAACUUCUUUUGUACAGGAAUAAACCUACUCUCGUGAGAGUAGCUGAAGGUACUGUACGAAUAAGCACCGGCUAACUCCGUGCCAGCAGCCGCGGUAAUACGGAGGGUGCAAGCGUUAUCCGGAUUUAUUGGGUUUAAAGGGUCCGUAGGCGGGCCUGUAAGUCAGUGGUGAAAUCUCAUAGCUUAACUAUGAAACUGCCAUUGAUACUGCAGGUCUUGAGUAAAUUUGAAGUGGCUGGAAUAAGUAGUGUAGCGGUGAAAUGCAUAGAUAUUACUUAGAACACCAAUUGCGAAGGCAGGUCACUAAGAUUUAACUGACGC